UUGAAUGUUGUUUAGUGUUUUUAUAGGAUAUCCUCGCUUUCUCUCAAUUUGUAAUUCAAUACACAAAUUAAUAGGUUCUGUUAGGUUAGCUAUAUGUUGUGUAUUAUCAAUGACUUCCACCGAAGGUAGUAAAAUGAUGUCUUGAGCAGUUACAUAUCCAGGACCUUUAAAACAAAUAGACGCCUCCCGAGUUCAAUACAGAUUACUUUUCAAUAUAAUCUAUUUCAAAUUCAUUAAAAUUUCAUGUAUUGAUUCUUGAAUACCUACUAUGGUAGAAUAUUCAUGUGGUAUUUUCUCAGAUUUUGCACGUGUGAUAUAAUAUUCAUGUGGUAUUUUCUCAGAUGGUUGAAUACCUACUAUGGUAGAAUAUUCUUGAAUACCUACUACGAGCAAAAUUCUUCGCAUUGUAAUGCCUAUUGUAUCCGCUUGACCUUUCAUAAGUGGAGAGAGAAUAAAGCGUCCAUAAUAAAGACGUUUAAUGUUUACCAUUGAUUCAACACACUUCCACUAUAGUGUCUGAGUCGAUACUUUUAGUUUUUCUCGAAUCAUAGUAAUAUAUUUUUAUGAAACUCUUGAUUUAAUUGUUUAUUUCUCUUGAAAUAUUUUUCUUUAAUGUUUAUUGUUAGUUUUACACACGUUACCCUUGAUUCAACACACUUCCACUGUAGUGUCUGAGUCGAUACUUUUAGUUUUUCUCGAAUCAUAGUAAUAUAUUUUUAUGAAACUCUUGAUUUAAUUGUUUAUUUCUCUUGAAAUAUUUUUCUUUUAUGUUUAUUGUUAGUUUUACACACGUCUUUUUUUAGGAGCCCGACAUCCAUUAUGUGGCAGAGGGGUUACAUCCCGUAUAACCUUUAAUAGUAUCCCACUUCUAUAAAUAGCUCUUAAUGCCGCAUCUCUUACUAGACCCGGACCCUUUAUCCUUACUUCUGCUCGUUGCAUGCCUUGCUCGACUACUGUUUGAAUAGCAUUUCCCGCUGCGGUUUGAGCGGCAAAUGGUGUCCCCCUUCGUGUACCCUUGAAUCCACAUGAGCCGGCGGAGGACCAAGAAAUCACCCGACCUCGUACAUCUGUAACAGUCACAAUGGUAUUGUUGAAACUAGCUUGAAUAUAAAUAACCCCCUUUGGUAUUUUACGAGGAUGCUUACGCGAACCAAUACAUCCAGUUUUCCGUGAACCAAUUUUUGGUAUAGAUUUUGCCAUUUUUUUUAUUUGAAAAAAAAUAUAAGUCCGAAAUAUAUGGAUAUAUCCAUUUCCUCUCAAAAAGGAUUCUUUACUAUUUUCUAUCUNAUUGGUACUUAGAUCAAACACCAGCCGUCAUGACAGACUGGAACGUGUUGGAAGAGAAGUUCAUCGAAAGAUUCUUCUCCCAUAACCGGUUCAUGGAAUCCAAGACGGCCAUCUCAGUGUUUUCACAAGCAAGACGUCCUUCUAUUUAUCGACAAUAUCUUCCGUUUUGUCCAAGCCGGAUCCGAAGUAUCCGCCUUAUUGGGCCGAAUGCCUUCCGCUGUGGGUUACCAUCGUUUCUAUGAUUACUUGUUAAACGGUGAGGUCCUCUCUAUACACCGGAGCCAAUCGACAUUUUUCACAAAUUUUACGAACAGAGGCCGCCACUUUCAUAUUUUUAACUCCUUAGAAAUUCAAUUGAAUUCCGACUCUGGUGUGCCAGUUAUCGUGCCAACGGUAAAUGCUGGGUAGCCAAGUGCGGAGCAAUCAAUGAAUCAUUAAAUGAGGCCUGGGAAAGAUUCAAAUUUAUGCUUCGGAAGUGUAAAGGGCAUGGAUUUGAUGAAUUGACUCAAAUCCAUAUUUUCAAAAAUGGACUUCAACCAAAUUUCAAGACGUUGUUGGAUGCUACCUCGGGUGGCUCUUUAUUGUCUAAAAUUGACUUGAACUAUUGAUUGGGCCAUGCAGAUAUAUGACUUAAUCUUAUCUGCCACAUUUGAAUUCACAAUUAAAUGUGUCUUUGUUCCAACCACCGCGCCAGUCCUCUACAGAGGAUAGUUCGGUUCACUUGAAGAUAAUCUUUUCUAUGAUCAGACUCGAUCAUAUCCUGGAUGAACAGGCUCCGUGAUAUCCAGUAAAAUAAGUAAGAUGAUAUAAUCUAGAUUAUGUCAUAUGUAUUUUAUUAAACUUAAUAGUAUGGAAAUGCAUUCAUUUCUUAUGCGUUGACUCAAUUUAUGAUAUUAUCGAAGUUAAACAAGUAGAUCUUAAAAAAAGGGGGUUGUAUUAUAUUAGUAACAAGUAAAUCCUUUCUAUGUCAAGAAUUCCAAAAUUCUUUUUUUGAGGUAUAACAGGGGAAAGGUUUGAGAUCACCCAGAAAGAACUUUUUUUUUUGAAAACUUACUUGGGUGAAAAGCAUUUACUUAAAAAUAUAACUUGAAUUUUUUGCAUUUGCAAUGGAUAGUUGUAAUUUCAAAAAAAGAAUAAUUCAAUCAAUUUUAUUACAUAGAAUCAUGAUAUAUGAGUGACUAACAUAGAAAGAAUUUCUAUGUCUGCAUUCAGUUCGUUUGAUUCGUGCUCGAGCCGGAUGAUGAAAAACUAUCAUGUCCGGUUCUUUCGGAGGAUGCAUCUAUAAGAAUUCACCUAUCCCAAUAACAAAAAAAAUGUGACUUGACUAAUCCUAUAUUAAGAGCUAAAUUGGACAAAGAAAUGGGUCAUAAUUAUUAUGGCGAACCUGCAUGGCCUAACGAUCUUUUAUAUAUUUUUCCAGUAGUGAUGCUGGGGACUAUUGCCUGUAACGUGGGCUUAGAGGUUCUUGAAGCAUCAAUGAUUGGGGAACCCGCGGAUCUGUUUGCAACUCCUUUGGAAAUAUUACCCGAAUGGUAUUUUUUUCCCGUAUUUCAAAUACUUCGUACCGUACCCAAUAAAUUAUUGGGCGUUCUUUUAAUGGUUUCAGUACCCGCGGGAAUAUUAACAGUACCCUUUUUGGAGAAUGUUAAUAAGUUCCAAACCCCAUUUCGGCAUCCAGUAGCAACGUCUGUCUUUUUGAUUGGUACCGUCGUGGCUCUUUGGUUUGGUAUUGGAGCAACAUUACCUAUUGAAAAAUCCCUAACGUUAGGGCUUUUUUAAAUUGAUUCUAUUGUCAAAUAAAAUAUCAUGACAGGUGUAUUGUGUAUCUAGGGAAAAUUCACUUUGAAAUGACUAAUCCCUAGAUACACCUAUUUCAUUUGAGACCUAUUCUAAAUAGAUUGAUUUGUGCUAAAGAUUCAAAAACAUCCAAUGUAUAUAAAAUUUAUACAAAAUGAUUUUCAAUUUGUAAAAUGUUUAAUAUAAAUUUGAAAUCUUCUACUCGAAAAUGUUCAAUUUUCAUAAGGUCUUCUUGACUCUUAUUCAAAAGUUCCAAUACUGUAUGUAUAUUGGACUUUUUAAGACAAUUAUAGAUCCGGGGAGGCAAUUCUAAUUGGUCAAUAAAAAUGGAUUUCAAUGUAAUUUCUUUUUGAUUUUCCUUAGUUUACCUUAAGAAUCUAUCAUGAUCAUGAAAAGAAAAGGGCAAAGUCAUUUGUGUUGAUUUUUUAAUUUUAAGUUUUCUUCUUCUGCAUGUAAAAAAGAAUAAAUAGAAUCAAUCAAAUUCCGGGAGGCUUCAUAAAGUGCUUCCUUAGGAGUUAAACUUCCAUUUGUCCAUAUUUCCAGAAAUAGUAUCUCUUGUUUUUGACUUCCAUUCACAUAAGAAUGGAUACUAUGAUUUGCAUUUCUAACAGGCAUGAAUACAGCAUCUAUAGUAUAACUUCCAUCUUGAAUGUUGUUUAGUGUUUUUAUACGAUAUCCCCGCUUUCUCUCAAUUUAUAAUUCAAUACACAAAUUAAUAGGUUCUGUUAGGUUAGCUAUAUGUUGUGUAUUAUCAAUGACUUCCACCGAAGGUGGUAAAAUGAUGUCUUGAGCAGUUACAUAUCCAGGACCUUUGAAACAAAUAGGCGCCUCCCGAGUUCCAUACAGAUUACUUCUCAAUACAAUUUCUUUCAAAUUCAUUAAAAUUUCAUGUAUUGAUUCUUGAAUACCUACUAUGGUAGAAUAUUCAUGUGGUAUUUUCUCAGAUUUUGCACGCGUGAUACAUGUUCCCUCUAUUUCUCCGAGCAAAAUUCUUCGCAUUGUAAUGCCUAUUGUAUCUGCUUGACCUUUCAUAAGUGGAGACAGAAUAAAGCGUCCAUAAUAAAGACGCUUACUGUCUACCCUUUCCACCGAAGGUGGUAAAAUGAUGUCUUGAGCAGUUACAUAUCCAGGACCUUUGAAACAAAUAGACGCCUCCCGAGUUCCAUACAGAUUACUUCUCAAUACAAUUUCUUUCAAAUUCA
rnacentral:lncRNA from 1 species